GGCCGCGUUAGCGUGAGCGUGCUAAGGUAGCGUAAUAAUUAGCCUUUUAAUUGGAGGCCAGUGAAUGGCAACACGGAAAACCCCUGUAUCACGUAUAUUAAUAAAAUUUUAUUUUUGGGUGAAAAAGCCCAAAUAAUAGAGGAAGACAAAAAGACCCCGCGGAGCUUUACUUUGUCAAGCCAAACAAAUCUGCCAGAUUAGUUAUGCUAAUAAGUUUGGUUGGGGCAACCCUGGAACCGCUAAAGCUUCCAGUUAAUCAUAGAACUUCAUCAAAAACAUCUUCGGACUAAAAAGAAGUUACCCCGGGGAUAACAGCGUAAUCCAACUUAAGAGUACGCAUCGAAAGUUGGGUUUGCGACCUCGAUGUUGGCUUAAGG
rnacentral:rRNA from 1 species